rnacentral:lncRNA from 11 species
AGGACGACAGCAGCCGCCUCCUGACUGCCAUAGCUCUCUUUGCAUUACUAUCCCAUCUGUUCUGAGUUAUCCUUUUAGGCCUUUCUUUAUCUCAGUUUUGUUAAUCCUGGUUAUUUUUCCAGGCUAGAAAACAAGCUUAACAUAAUGGCAAAACAAUUUGGUAUGGAGCAUGCCACUAUUCUGUUUGGAAGAGACUUUAGCUUUCACUUUUGUUUUGUUUUCAAAACCACCUUUUGAGCAUCUGUUUUUCAAAGCUGGAAAUUUGAACCUUGGCUAGUGGGAAAUACACAAUGAUCUCUUGGUAAGACAAUCUGCAGUGAAGGCCUAGUUGGCUUCUGAAACACUUGCUGGACACCUUACCAGCUACAUUAGGACAAGGUUAACAAAAGGAGAAAACAACUAUAAUGGCAUUUUUCUAUACCAAAGACUGUAAAGGGUCCUAACCUGUGGAAAAGUCACCAACAUGCUAUGCUGCAAUAUACAGAGAAGGCCACUGGGAUCUUAUUGAAGAUACAAUUCAGAAAAGAAAGCAAGCCACAUCCUACUUGCCCUGGAGAGCUGAAAUGUACCUUCUGUCUUUUUUUCAGGAAUGAAAAAGAAUUUACGUGGAAUAGCCAGAACAGAAGGACUUAUGAGCAAUACACUGGCUUUAUCCCAAGGCAAAAGAGGUGGAACUGGCAUACCUUGUGGAAGAAAAAACAAAGAUCCACCCAGGUUCAUUUCAUCCAUAACAUGAUCAGAUGAUGCUUGCUUGCUACCAUGACAUACCCACAUGGCACCUGAUGGGAGAUUUUCUAAACCUGUUUCACAUCCCUCAUGGGCACGUUUAGCCAGAAACACACCCUUACACAGCUUUCUAUAUUUGACAUGCAGCAGUUGGAAAGAUACAGGGUAAUCUCUCAUGAUUAUGUCUCAUUGCAGGAGACUACACAAAAACAUAUGCUCAGAAAACAAUUGAUAGAGGUUUCUAAAAUUAUACACAAGAGGAGAAACAGGAUGCAGAGAAUUUUUCUCCUUCUCUGGAUCACUAACCUCAGGCUCACACAUUUCAUGACAGAUUCAAGGCCAAUGAAAUGGAAUUUUCAAUGAAUGCAAAAAUAAAGUAAAGGAAUUUUCUGCCAUAAAUAUGUGAUGAUGAUGCUUGCAGUUGACUUGAAUUGCUUAAAAAGUGGUUUGAUAAAUUCAUGGCUGAGAAGAGGACUAUCAGCAAUUAUGCCCCUGAUAGCUAAUCAAACCAAUAUCAGACAGAGCUUGGAAAUAAUGCAUUUUGAGUAAUGUUAUUUAGAAGCAGAAAGACAAUGGAGCAAAUGCUCUUUCUUCCUAUCAAGUUAAAGCAUUACAUUGUGGAAAAACAUGUUACAUGUUAUUCCCCCAGUUUGAUAUUUUACGGUCACUGAAGUGGAAAGCUUGGCUAUUUUUUGUCCUUUCUGCUACAUUUUAAAAUUAAAACAUUAAUU